UUUUUCAGGUAUCGCGGGCGAUGAGUAGUGGGACGAGACGUGAGGUACGUGUGUAGCGUCGAUAGAGCUUCCGACCCAGGUUAUUUCGAUUUAGUUUUUAUCCUUGGUAUUUCUAUGGAUAUAUAGUUUAGUUGGUUUAUGUGGUUCAGUAAUUAUUUAUAUUUGAAAAGGUGGAUUUAUGGACUUUGUAAAAUAAAAGGUUUUCUACCCCUCAUGGUAGCGUUUUUAAAAGAAUAGGGGUUUCUGUAUAGGAAACAGCUUUCAAAAGAUUUUUGUGGAUUUCUGUUUAAACCUUGAAUGUGAAACUAUGAUGUGAAUGGUGAAUGUAUGAAUGUAUAGUUAUCUUGAUAUUCAUCUGGUUGUGGUUGUAUCCUGAUUGUACUGUGUAUUUGAUCGACGCCGUGCAAAUACAGGGGAGACUCUGUCCGUGUGAACAGUGGAUUCCCUGUAUUUGUGGCGGAUCUGGCAUACUUUGGGGUCAGGUUUUCAAAAAAAAAAUUUCAGACGCUUUUCCGCUUUGUUUUAAACUGAAAAGGGACCCCGGGGCGUGACAUGUUAAUUGUAUAUGUGCCACGCCAUGCAAACGUAGGGGAGAUUAUGUUCAUUUGUUUUACAAAUUUUCUGCAUUUGUGGCAGGUCCAUUACGUCACUGGGUAAAGGUUAAAAAAAAUGUGCAGUUUUCUGCUGACUCUAAUUUAUAAAGAUAGUCUGAUUUCAAAUUG
rnacentral:lncRNA from 1 species